CGCGACGCACCUCACUUCCGCUUCCUGUUUUUCUUUUUUCUCGCUGCGUCUGUGUCACGGUUGUGCUCUUCGCUCUACACUUUUCGUCAGUUGUUUACGUUUAUUUUGUGUGUGUGUUUUGUCAUUCUUUGCUUUCUAUUGGCAUCUCCGCAUGGAGAGACAAAAGGAGUUGCUAUUACUGAAGAAAAAACUGUUGUUGUUGAAAAAGAAACGCAUCGAUGCGGGGUCUCCGCGCACAUGGUGGGUCCACCCGGUGUGGCAGAACAGAAGACACGAAAGCGAGUUCUACACAGCGGUGAGUGUUGAAAGAAAGAUAUGAUUCGAGUAAAAGAAGCUCUACCGUUGCCAACGCUACGGUCUCUCUAAUAUUUUUGGUCAAUUCAUUCCUUUUUAGAUGAAAAAGAUGGCAGCUUGUGGAAACCACCACCUGUUCAUCAAAUAUUACAAGAUGAAGCCUGAGGUCUUCUGGGAGCUGUUUCUUGUUGUGAAGGAAGACCUGCAAAAACAGUAUCUAUGCCGGGAGCCAAUCACUCCUGAGGAGCGCUUGGCUCUCACAAUUAGUUACCUGUCAUCUGGAAUGCAGAUCCAAGAUAUUGCAAUGCUGUUCCGUGUAGGAAUUGAAACCGCAAGACAGAUAGUACAUGAAACAUGCACAGUCCUUUGGGAACGGCUGGCUCCGGAUUACAUGAAGUGCCCAUCAGAAGACGACUGGAGAGCCAUCGCCAGUGAUUUCUGGAUAAGAUGGCAUUUUCCUAAUUGCCUUGGUGCCGUUGAUGGCAAGCACGUCCAAAUCUUUGCACCAAAGAAGUCUGGAAGCAUGUACUAUAACUACAAGGUGUGGUUAAUUUGUAUCA